GAUGAACGCUGGCGGCGUGCUUAACACAUGCAAGUCGAACGGGAAUUACUUUAUUGAAACUUCGGUCGAUUUAAUUUAAUUCUAGUGGCGGACGGGUGAGUAACGCGUGGGUAACCUGCCUUGUACAGGGGGAUAACAGUCAGAAAUGACUGCUAAUACCGCAUAAGCGCACAGGACCGCAUGGUCCGGUGUGAAAAACUCCGGUGGUAUAAGAUGGACCCGCGUUGGAUUAGCUAGUUGGCAGGGUAACGGCCUACCAAGGCGACGAUCCAUAGCCGGCCUGAGAGGGUGAACGGCCACAUUGGGACUGAGACACGGCCCAGACUCCUACGGGAGGCAGCAGUGGGGAAUAUUGCACAAUGGGGGAAACCCUGAUGCAGCGACGCCGCGUGAAGGAAGAAGUAUCUCGGUAUGUAAACUUCUAUCAGCAGGGAAGAA
rnacentral:rRNA from 1 species